CAGGAAUUCGCUGGGAAGGAAAGACUAUAGAGAACUUGAAGCUUUCUGAAACACUUCUUGAAAGCGGGAAAGACAAUUUAUCAUUAUAUCGAAAGACAUGCGGAAUUAUUUGUCCGAAAAUGCAUCACUGAGAGAAGUCGCUGCCUCGAGUCUAAAAAGCAAUUUUCUAAAACACUGCUUGGAAGAGUCAUGCAUCAAACGGAGUCGACAUUGUUAAUAGUCUGGUGCAUCACGGAGCGAGAUGGAAGCCUAUAUAGUCCAAAGAGUAAAGAGCAAUUUUCUAAAACACUGCUCGAAAAAGUCAUCGCAUCGAACGACAUUGUUAAUAGUCUGGUGCAUCACGGAGUGAGAUGGAAGCCUAUAUAGUCUAAAGAGCAAUAAAAGAGUGAAGAUGGAAAGUAAGAAUGUUGAGCCAAAUAUUGGGGAAAUGAAAGCAAACGUAUCAACAAAAAAGCGCUGAACGUUUCCACAAAUUUGAGAAAGAAAUGAAAUGGUCACUUCUAAUUCUCUGAUGAGGCGUAAUAAAUUGGUAGAUUUAAAAGAACGCAACACGAGGACUAUCAUUGAAUUUUUAGAAUUUUCCGAUUUAGUCGUAACGAUACUGAUCAGUUUGAUCUUCAUUAAAGCUUGCGAGUACUUUUGCAGAGCAAUGCUGUAUUUUGCAAAAAUCUUAAACUAUUUGGUGAAGAGAGGGAAAUGAACUGCAAAAUGUUUGUUCCUAAUACCAUGUUUUAUUUAUACAGGAUUCCCCACACUAUAUCUCCGCCAUAACAAAAACGCUUGAUCAGAUGUUUGAAAGCGAUGCACAACAACAGAUUCAUGAAAAAUAUCCCUAUUUACUGGUGCACAUGUUUGACCGAAAAUAUAUUAAUUGAAAGCAAAAGUUUUUCGGAUUUUGUCUCUCUUAGCAAAUUCAUUUGAACCGUUAGGUUUCAUUUUACCCAAUAUGCUAGAUAAUGUCUCUGCUGGAAAUGCGGAGCACUGGUCAAACUUGUGUGCAUGCACUGAAAUAUAUAUACAAAAGAAAACUGAGUCCUAACAUGAGGCCGAGCUGAAAUAAUGAUUAUGAGACAGAAUGUGUUUGUGCGUUAAACUCUGUUUGGGAAGACAAAGAUUUGGCGUCGGUUAUUUUAAAUUUAGCCGACAGAUUACUGAAAUGCUUUGCUUAAAUACAUUUCGUAUCACAAUAAUGAAAUUUAAAGCGCCAAAAAAUAAAAACAAAAUACGCGCGUUGCGUUAAUGAGCCUUGUUGGCCGUAAUUGUGAUAAAAUUAUACUAUUUUGAGCUUUUGAAAAAAUAAAAAUGCGAAUUCUAUUCACUUUUAUGCAGGUACAUCCUAAAACUCUCAUUUGUAGUGCGAUUGUUUUGAAAUCAUAUUUUCAAAAAUAGUGUUCUUAGAGCCCAUGCCUUUAUGUAUAAGUUUUCAAAUCUAGAAAUAUAUUCCCUAUUUCUUUAUAGUUUAUUGCGAGUAUUAAUAUGCUAUGUUCUUUUAAUGAAUGGUUAAUGUAUACAAUCCCUGUGGAUAAUUUAACUUAUUGAAAAUUAUUUGAUGAAAUAAUUGAAUGAAAUAAUACUUCAUGGCUUUGUUUCCUCGCCAUAUAAAUUUGGAAAAGACGGAUAGGAGAAAAAUCUACACAUUACAUGUAAAUAUUUUUACAA